rnacentral:rRNA from 1 species
CCCUACGGGAGGCAGCAGUGGGGAAUAUUGCACAAUGGGGGAAACCCUGAUGCAGCGACGCCGCGUGAGUGAAGAAGUAUCUCGGUACGUAAAGCUCUAUCAGCAGGGAAGAAAAUGACGGUACCUGAUUAAGAAGCCCCGGCUAACUACGUGCCAGCAGCCGCGGUAAUACGUAGGGGGCAAGCGUUAUCCGGAAUUACUGGGUGUAAAGGGAGCGUAGACGGUGAUGCAAGUCUGGAGUGAAAGGCGGGGGCCCAACCCCCG